GCGGAGGUAGUUUAGUGUUCAUAACACUCUUCUUCCUGAAGAGAGACCCUGGUUUAAAUCCAGGCCUCCGCUCCA
rnacentral:tRNA from 1 species